rnacentral:rRNA from 1 species
AGUCUGGUGCCAGCAGCCGCGGUAAUUCCAGCUCCAAUAGUGUAUAUUAAAGUUGCUGCAGUUAAAAAGCUCGUAGUUGGAUUUCGGAUAAUAAAAAUUUAAUAUCCAUCCUUAAAAUGUGAUUUAAUUUUUAUUUCCUUCCUUUUGAAUACACUCCCUAAACUCUUUUAGGGAAUUAAGUGUUUCAAAUCGUUUACUGUGAAGAAAUUAGAGUGUUCAAAGCAGGCGUAACCUAGCCUUUGAAUAUAUUAGCAUGGGAUAAUGAAAUAGGACUUUAGUCCUACUUUCGUUGGUUUCUAGGGCUGAAGUAAUGAUUAAUAGGGAUAGUUGGGGUCACUAGUAUUUAAUUGUCAGAGGUGAAAUUCUAAGAUUUAUUAAAGACUAACUACUGCGAAAGCAUUUGACAAGGAUGUUUUCAUUAAUCAAGAACGAAAGUUGGGGGAUCGAAGAUGAUCAGAUACCGUCGUAGUCUCAACCAUAAACUAUGCCGACCAAGGAUCCGGGGUUGUUAAUAUGGAUGACUCUCCGGGCACUUAUAGAGAAAUCAUAAGUAUUUGGGCUCCGGGGGGAGUAUGGUCGCAAGGCUGAAACUUAAAGGAAUUGACGGAAGGGCACCACAAGGAGUGGAACCUGCGGUUUAAUUUGACUCAACACGGGGAAACUUACCAGGUCCAGACACAGUGAGGAUUGACAGAUUGAGAGUUCUUUCUUGAUUCUGUGAGUGGUGGUGCAUGGCCGUUUCUAGUUGGUGGAGUGAUUUGUCUGGUUAAUUCCGUUAACGAACGAGACCUUAACCUAUUAAAUAGUUGUUUGAACUUGAUUUUUUAAAUCAAAUGUUCAUUUAACUUCUUAGAGGGACUCUUCACUGAGAGAGUGAAUGGAAGUUUGAGGCAAAAACAGGUCUGUGAUGCCCUUAGAUGUUCUGGCCACACGCGCGUUACACUGACAUAUUCAACGAGCAUUAUCCUUGCCCGUCGGGGUUGGGUAAUCUUUUAAAUGUAUGUCGUGCUGGGGAUAGAUCAUUGUAAUUAUUGGUCUUGAACGAGGAAUUCCUAGUAAGUGCGAGUCAUCAACUCGCGCUGAUUACGUCCCUGCCCUUUGUACACACCGCCCGUCGCUCCUACCGAUUGAAUGGUCCGGCGAGAACUCAGGAUGGAUAUGGAUUUUGGACCCGUUAGGUGUUCCAACCAUAUCCAGAAUUUGUUUAAACCUUACCAUUUAGAGGAAGGAGAAGUCGUAACAAGGUUUCCGUAGGUGAACCUGCGGAAG